rnacentral:rRNA from 1 species
UACGAAGGGGGCUAGCGUUGCUCGGAAUUACUGGGCGUAAAGCGUGCGUAGUCGGUUAUCUAAGUCGGGUGUGAAAUCCCCGGGCUCAACCUGGGAAUUGCAUUCGAUACUGGAUAGCUAGAGUUCGGCAGAGGGAAGCGGAAUUUCGGGUGUAGCGGUGAAAUGCGUAGAUAUCCGAAGGAACAUCAGUGGCGAAAGCGGCUUCCUGGACCAGAACUGACGAUCAGGCACGAAAGCGUGGGGAGCAAACAGG